rnacentral:tRNA from 1 species
AGUAAAAUAAGCUAACCUAAGCUAUUGGGCCCAUGCCCCAGCAAUGAGAUAACCUCUUUUACUA